rnacentral:rRNA from 1 species
UACGAAGGGGGCUAGCGUUGUUCGGAAUUACUGGGCGUAAAGCGCACGUAGGCGGGUUGUUAAGUCAGGGGUGAAAUCCUGGAGCUCAACUCCAGAACUGCCUUUGAUACUGGCAACCUAGAGACUGGAAGAGGUUAGUGGAAUUCCCAGUGUAGAGGUGAAAUUCGUAGAUAUUGGGAAGAACACCAGUGGCGAAGGCGGCUAACUGGUCCAGCACUGACGCUGAGGUGCGAAAGCGUGGGGAGCAAACAGGAUUGAGAAACCGUUAGUAGU